UCCUAUUUAAUUAAACAGCUCGGCCACUUUUUCCUAAUCAACCAUGGAGCGACGUGAUGACACCCCAUUGCCUUGGGUAGAAUUCGAUCAGGUGCGGGGAGCCCCCAAGGCACCACUCUCCAACGCCAGCAAAAGUGAGUCAAACUGGCGUGGAGAGCUGCUCCCCCCCUGCAUAUUCGAAAAGGGCCGCUACACGUCCGCCUGCCUGGUCUGGGCUGAGCCAGGACUUUUCUGAAAAAUGACCGAUCGGUCAUUUGGGAAGGCCCUCUCCCAACCCUUCCGGCCAAAGUCAAAAGAUCCAUCACAAAGGUGGUGAAGGGUUUGUUCGUUGGUCCGAAGGGCAUGCGACAAGAAGUUCCAUGACCUGCUGUUUAAUUAAACAGCUCGGCCACUUUUUCCUAAUCAACCAUGGAGCGACGUGAUGACACCCCAUUGCCUUGGGUAGAAUUCGACAGGUGCGGGGAGCCCCCAAGGCACCACUCUCCAACGCCAGCCAAAGUGAGUCAAACUGGCAUGGAGAGCUCCUCCCCCCUGAAUAUUCGAAAAGGGCCGCUACACGUCCGCCUGCCUGGUCUGGGCUAAGCUAGGACUUUUCGGAAAAAUGACCGAUCGGUCAUUUGGGAAGGCCCUCUCCCAACCCUUCCGGCCAAAGUCAAAAGAUCCAUCACAAAGGUGGUGGAGGGUUUGUUCGUUGGUCCGAAGGGCAUGCGAGAG
rnacentral:lncRNA from 1 species